UCUGUGUCGUGGCUGACCUGGCGUCAGUGAGCAGGCCGCUGUACUGGUCCUGUCGGCUCUGAGCCUCUGAGAACAGGGCGAGACAGGACUCACUGUCGCUGAGGAGAGGGUCUGAAUCACGCAGAGUCUGAGAGAGAAGGGCGCAGGCAGAUGGUGGAGUCUGGUUAGCGACAACAAGCCUGGCAGCAGUUUUUUUCUUCCGGGGAGAUCAUGGCGGAUCCAUCUAAGAAGCGACGUCACUACAUCCUCCUCACUCAGCACGUUCAGAGCAUCUGACCUGAGGCACGCUUCCAACACAUUCACCUAUAAGAAGCAAGAGAAACAGUAAAUACUGAGUUCCUCAAAAACAAACCUGUGGAAAUAAAGGCCCCAACCUAGA